rnacentral:rRNA from 1 species
UACACACCGCCCGUCACACCAUGGGAGUUGGUUUUACCCAAAGACGGUGCGCUAACCAGCAAUGGAGGCAGCCGGCCACGGUAGGGUCAGCGACUGGGGUG